rnacentral:misc_RNA from 1 species
GAUGAAGAACGCAGCGAAAUGCGAUAAGUAGUGUGAAUUGCAGAAUUCAGUGAAUCAUCGAGUCUUUGAACGCACAUUGCGCCCCCUGGUAUUCCGGGGGGCAUGCCUGUCCGAGCGUCAUUGCUGCCCAUCAAGCACGGCUUGUGUGUUGGGUCCCGUCCCCCUCUCCCGGGGGACGGACCCGAAAGGCAGCGGCGGCACCGCGUCCGGUCCUCGAGCGUAUGGGGCUUUGUCACCCGCUCUUGUAGGCCCGGCCGGCGCUUGCCGACACCCAACCAUUUUUUUCAGGUUGACCUCGGAUCAGGUAGGGAUACCCGCUGAACUUAAGCAUAUCAAUAAGCGGAGGA